rnacentral:rRNA from 1 species
GAUGAACGCUGGCGGCAGGCUUAACACAUGCAAGUCGAGCGGGGAAGGGUAGCUUGCUACCUAACCUAGCGGCGGACGGGUGAGUAAUGCUUAGGAAUCUGCCUAUUAGUGGGGGACAACAUUCCGAAAGGAAUGCUAAUACCGCAUACGCCCUACGGGGGAAAGCAGGGGAUCUUCGGACCUCGCGCUAAUAGAUGAGCCUAAGUCAGAUUAGCUAGUUGGUGGGGUAAAGGCCUACCAAGGCGACGAUCUGUAGCGGGUCUGAGAGGAUGAUCCGCCACACUGGGACUGAGACACGGCCCAGACUCCUACGGGAGGCAGCAGUGGGGAAUAUUGGACAAUGGGCGGAAGCCUGAUCCAGCCAUGCCGCGUGUGUGAAGAAGGCCUUUUGGUUGUAAAGCACUUUAAGCGAGGAGGAGGCUACCUGGAUUAAUACUCUAGGAUAGUGGACGUUACUCGCAGAAUAAGCACCGGCUAACUCUGUGCCAGCAGCCGCGGUAA